GAUCAUGGCUCAGGAUGAACGCUAGCGGCAGGCCUAACNCAUGCAAGUCGAGGGGUAGAACACUUCGGUGUUUUGAGACCGGCGCACGGGUGCGUAACGCGUAUGCAAUCUACCUUGUACAGGGGAAUAGCCCAGAGAAAUUUUGGAUUAAUGCCCCAUAGUAUAUAACCUUCGCAUGUUGGUUAUAUUAAAGUUCCAAUGGUACAAGAUGAGCAUGCGUCCCAUUAGUUAGUUGGUAAGGUAACGGCUUACCAAGACGAUGAUGGGUAGGGGUCCUGAGAGGGAGAUCCCCCACACUGGUACUGAGACACGGACCAGACUCCUACGGGAGGCAGCAGUGAGGAAUAUUGGUCAAUGGGCGCAAGCCUGAACCAGCCAUGCCGCGUGCAGGAAGACGGUCCUAUGGAUUGUAAACUGCUUUUAUACAGGAAGAAACAACUCUACGUGUAGAGUCUUGACGGUACUGUAGGAAUAAGGAUCGGCUAACUCCGUG
rnacentral:rRNA from 1 species